CGCGUAGGUGGUUUUGUAAGUCGGAUGUGAAAGCCCCGGGCUCAACCUGGGAAUUGCAUUCGAUACUGCAAGGCUAGAGUACAGUAGAGGAGAGUAGAAUUCCCGGUGUAGCGGUGAAAUGCGUAGAUAUCGGGAGGAAUACCAGUGGCGAAGGCGGCUCUCUGGACUGAUACUGACACUGAGGUGCGAAAGCGUGGGUAGCAAACA
rnacentral:rRNA from 1 species